GUGGGGAAUAUUGGGCAAUGGGCGAAAGCCUGACCCAGCAACGCCGCGUGAAGGAAGAAGGUUUUCGGAUUGUAAACUUCUUUUGCAGGGAACGAAUAAAAUGACGGUACCCUGCGAAUAAGCCACGGCUAACUACGUGCCAGCAGCCGCGGUAAUACGUAGGUGGCAAGCGUUGUCCGGAAUUACUGGGUGUAAAGGGCGAGGAGGCGGCCAGACAAGUCAGAUGUGAAAUACCGGAGCUCAACUCCGGGGCUGCAUUUGAAACUGUAUGGCUUGAGUGAUGGAGAGGUAGAUGGAAUUCCCGGUGUAGCGGUGGAAUGCGUAGAUAUCGGGAGGAACACCAGUGGCGAAGGCGGUCUACUGGACAUUAACUGACGCUGAGGAGCGAAAGCGUGGGGAGCAAACAGGAUUAGAAACCCGGGUAGUCC
rnacentral:rRNA from 1 species